AAAUUUUCCCCACUAACCGUCGAUCACCGCAAUCGAUUUAUACACGUUCAACACACGUUCAUUGAGGCCUGAAAUCUAGCACUUACUUAAUACCUUACUUUUAAGUAUAGUAUCAAGUAAGUGCUAGUUUCCAAGCGUCAAUGAACGUGUUGAACGUAUAAUCGAUUCUGGCGAUCGACGGUAAGUGGGGAAAAUUU